GCGGGGUGGAGCAGCCUGGUAGCUCGUCGGGCUCAUAACCCGAAGGUCGUCGGUUCAAAUCCGGCCCCC
rnacentral:tRNA from 7 species